rnacentral:rRNA from 1 species
GGCGCAAUGAAAGUGAAGGUUCGCCACGCGCGAACCGAGGGAGGAUGGACGGUCGAUCGUGGCCGUCCCGCACUCCCUGGGCGUCUCGUUCUCAUCGCGAGAAGAGGCGCACCAAGAGCGUACACGCUGGGACCCGAAAGAUGGUGAACUAUGCCUGGUCAGGACGAAGUCAGGGGAAACCCUGAUGGAGGUCCGUAGCGAUUCUGACGUGCAAAUCGAUCGUCGGAACUGGGUAUAGGGGCGAAAGACUAAUCGAACCAUCUAGUAGCUGGUUCCCUCCGAAGUUUCCCUCAGGAUAGCUGGCGCUCGCUUCUCGCGAGUCUCAUUCGGUAAAGCGAAUGAUUAGAGGCAUUGGGGUCGAAACGGCCUCAACCUAUUCUCAAACUUUAAAUGGGUGAGAUCUCCGGCUUGCUUGAACUGUGAAGCCGCGAGAUAUCGGAUCAGAGUGCCAAGUGGGCCACUUUUGGUAAGCAGAACUGGCGCUGUGGA